UACGGAGGGUGCAAGCGUUAUCCGGAUUUACUGGGUUUAAAGGGUGCGUAGGCGGGUAGGUAAGUCAGUGGUGAAAUCUUCGAGCUUAACUCGGAAACUGCCAUUGAUACUAUUUAUCUUGAAUACUUUGGAGGUAAGCGGAAUAUGUCAUGUAGCGGUGAAAUGCUUAGAUAUGACAUAGAACACCGAUUGCGAAGGCAGCUUCUACACAGUUAUUGACACUGAGGCACGAAAGCGUGGGGAUCAAACAGG
rnacentral:rRNA from 1 species